rnacentral:rRNA from 1 species
ACGGGAGGCAGCAGUGGGGAAUAUUGGGCAAUGGGCGAAAGCCUGACCCAGCAACGCCGCGUGAGGGAAGAAGGUUUUCGGAUUGUAAACCUCUGUCCCAGGGGACGAAGGACGUGACGGUACCCUGGGAGGAAGCCCCGGCUAACUACGUGCCAGCAGCCGCGGUAAUACGUAGGGGGCGAGCGUUGUCCGGAAUGACUGGGCGUAAAGGGCGUGUAGGCGGCCGGAUAAGUCUGGAGUGAAAGUCCUGCUUUCAAGGUGGGAAUUGCUUUGGAGACUGUCUGGCUUGAGUGCGGAAGAGGUAAGUGGAAUUCCCAGUGUAGCGGUGAAAUGCGUAGAGAUUAGGAGGAACACCAGUGGCGAAGGCGACUUACUGGGCCGUAACUGACGCUGAGGCGCGAAAGCGUGGGGAGCAAACAGGAUUAGAUACCCUGGUA